rnacentral:rRNA from 1 species
UACGGGGGGGGCAAGCGUUGUUCGGAAUUACUGGGCGUAAAGGGCUCGUAGGCGGCCAACUAAGUCGGAUGUGAAAUCCCCAGGCUUAACCUGGGAACUGCAUCCGAUACUGGAUGGCUUGAAUCCGGGAGAGGGAUGCAGAAUUCCAGGUGCAGCGGUGAAAUGCGUAGAUAUCGGGAGGAACACCAGUGGCGAAGGCGACUUCCUGGCCCGUUCUUGACGCUGAGGCGCGAAAGCUAGGGGAGCAAACGGG